GGUUCUCCGGGUCGGUGAGCUCCUCGGCGUACUGGGAGAACAUUCGCCGGAACUCCGGGUCCUGGAAGGCGGAGGUGAGCCGCUGGACCUCCUCUCCGCUCAGGUCCAAGUCCUCCAGCGACGAGGAGGCCGCCGCUUUGGCCAUACUGUCCUGUGGCUCCUCGCCCUCGGGCCAAAGGCGAUCAGUCUGACACUGGGUUGGGGGAUCCGCCUCAGAGUUUCUGGGCAGCGUACAGUGACGCGGUGGAGGUCGGUAACGGCUGGAAAAUUGAGCCUUGACCACCGCGCCCGGCCUAAAACCUUUCUAAUGUGCAUAUUUUUUUGACCCAAAUGCCCUUAGAGUAUUUGACACAAUACUCUUAGAACAUUCUCAAGGUGACAUCAUUUAUGAUUCUAAAGGUUUGAGAAGAAUCUACAAAUUCAACAAUGGAACUGAUUGAGCAGGUUUUGGUAGAGCCACGCAACAGAGUUUUGUGCAACCAUUCAAAAUGAUCAUAUGGAAGUAUAUUUAUUUACUGGAGUAAUUAUUUAUUCAUUGGUAAUUGGUCAAUUCAGUGAUCAUUUUUCUAUUCUCAGCAACAUUUAACACAGUUGAUGUUGGCAUUACCUCAGUGACAAGACACUUUCCAGAUUUCUCUUCUGUCUCAUCACUCUCAUAGUUUUGCUCUGUAGGUAUCUACUUCUUUUCAACUUCUACAUGGAAAUGCCCCAAAACUGGGACCCAAUCUCUUACCCAUCUAUACUCUCCUUCAGAAAUAUAUUUACACUCACAAAUACUUGUCUUAGACUCAGAUUUUACACUCCUAUAUCCAGCUGCACGUUUGAGGUGUCCAUUUGAGUGAUUAAUGCAUAAGCUACUCAGGCUUGAAAUGACCAAGAUCAGAACUCCUGAAUCCUCUUUUCCCAAACCACUGCCUUAUCUUAUGGUCUCUUGGAAGCAUUCAAAGCAGUUGACUGCCCCUUCGAAACACAUUUUUCUCAUGUUUUGCAGAACUCCAAGCUCUCCCAUUUUCCUCCUUUAUGCUCCUGCCAGUUCUGCAAAUGUGGGAGUUGCCCAAGGCUUUGUUCAUCAGCCCUCUUACCUAAUCACAUUUCUUCCAAGAUGUCUUAUCCAAGCCCAUAGUUUUAAAUGCCAUCUGUGUUCAAAUUAGUCCUUUCAACAGAUAUUUAUUGUGUGCUUAUUGCACUUAUUAUAUAGGUAAUUAACAAAGAUGUGAAGCAGUUGCAUUGCUUUUUUUUUUGAGACAGAGUCUUGCUCUGUCGCCUAGACUGGGGUGCUUUGGCGCGAUCUUGGCUCACUGCAACCUCCGCCUCCUGGGUUCAAACAAUUCUCCUGCCUCAGCCUCCCAAGUAGCUGGGAUUGCAGGCACCUACCACUGCGCCCAGCUAAUUUUUGUAUUUUUUAGUAGAGAUGGGAUUUCACCAUGUUGGUCAGGCUGGUCUCCAACUCCUGAGCUCAGGUGAUCCGCCCACCUCGGCUUCCCAAAGUGCUGGGAUUACAGGCACAAGCCACCAUGCCCAGCCAGCAAUUGCACUUUCAUAUCCUGGGAGUAUAUAUUGGAACACUGUUAACAUAAGGCUUACGACAAUGAAAUUCUCCCAGAUACACAUUCAACAGAAACACAUAUCCCCACCAAAACACAUGUACUACAAUGUGUGUAUUCAUAGCGGCACUAUUUCAUAGUUGACAAAUUCUGGAAGCAACCCAAAUUCUCAUUCAUAGUAGAAUGGAUAAAUGUAAAUAUCCACCCACACAAUGCACUACUCAACAGUAUAGAUGAGUAUCAUUAACAUAAUGGUGCUUGAAAGAAACCAGAUGUAAAAUAAUACAUAUGACUCUGUCAUAUAAUAGACAAAACAUGGCAAAAUAAAUCUGUUAAGCCAAGCUAGUGAUGGCCAUGUUGGGAGAGCUUCUGGGUG
rnacentral:lncRNA from 1 species